AUUGAACGCUGGCGGCAGGCUUAACGCAUGCAAGUCGAGCGGUAACAGAGAGAAGCUUGCUUCUCUGCUGACGAGCGGCGGACGGGUGAGUAAUGCCUAGGAAUCUGCCUAGUAGUGGGGGAUAACUUGCCGAAAGGUAAGCUAAUAACGCAUACGUCCUACGCGAGAAAGGAGGGGACCUUCUGGCCUUUCGCUAUUAGAUGAGCCUAGGUCGGAUUAGUUAGUUGGUGAGGUAAUGGCCCACCAAGACCGCGACCCGUAACUGGUCUGAGAGGAUGAUCAGUCACACUGGAACUGAGACACGGUCCAGACUCCUACGGGAGGCAGCAGUGGGGAAUAUUGGACAAUGGGGGGAACCCUGAUCCAGCCAUGCCGCGUGUGUGAAGAAGGUCUUAGGAUUGUAAAGCACUUUAAGUUGGGAGGAAGAGCAGUUAACUAAUAUUUGACUGUUUUGACGUUACCGACAGAAUAAGCACCGGCUAACUUCGUGCCAGCAGCCGCGGUAA
rnacentral:rRNA from 1 species